UACGUAGGGGGCAAGCGUUGGUCCGGAUUUAUUGGGCGUAAAGAGCGUGUAGGCGGCUUUGCAAGUCCGUUGUGAAAACUCGAGGCUCAACCUCGAGACGCCGGUGGAAACUGCAAAGCUAGAGUCCGGAAGAGGAGAGUGGAAUUCCUGGUGUAGCGGUGAAAUGCGCAGAUAUCGGGAGGAACACCUGUGGGCGAAGGCGGCCCCCUGGUUGGAUAACGU
rnacentral:rRNA from 1 species